UACGUAGGGGGCAAGCGUUGUCCGGAAUCAUUGGGCGUAAAGAGCGUGUAGGCGGCCCGAUAAGUCCGCUGUGAAAGUCCAGGGCUCAACCCUGGGAUGCCGGUGGAUACUGUCGGGCUCGAGUCCGGAAGAGGCGAGUGGAAUUCCUGGUGUAGCGGUGAAAUGCGCAGAUAUCAGGAGGAACACCGAUGGCGAAGGCAGCUCGCUGGGACGGUACUGACGCUGAGGCGCGAAAGCGUGGGGAGCAAACAGG
rnacentral:rRNA from 1 species